rnacentral:rRNA from 1 species
UACGUAGGUGGCAAGCGUUGUCCGGAUUUACUGGGCGUAAAGAGCGCGCAGGCGGUCGUUCAAGUCGCGUGUGAAAGCCCCCGGCUCAACUGGGGAGGGUCACGCGAUACUGAUCGACUCGAAGGCAGGAGAGGGUAGUGGAAUUCCCGGUGUAGCGGUGAAAUGCGCAGAUAUCGGGAGGAACACCAAUUGCGAAGGCAGCUCGCUGG